rnacentral:lncRNA from 1 species
CGCAGCCACAGGUUCCGGACGUCUUGGCCCCGGGAAUAAAUAAAGACAUAAACCAACCCGGCUUUCUCCGGAGGAAUGAGGCGCAGUGGUGGAUGCUCGCAAACUUUUGCGCACCGCUGGAAACCCACUAGGUUGAGUUGCAAAACGUACCGCGUAGACGCCCCUGGUGGCGCCGAGAGAAGAGCUAGGCCUGCCCAGCACAGAGCCGGAGAGCGUCGGGCCUUCCGGAAGGGUCGACGAGAUGAGUUCCUACUUGACCUCUGAGCCGAGGUGGGCCGGAAACCGAGGCCUAGGCCCCGCCGGGGCUGCAAGGAAAAGGGGAAACUCCGAGCGUAGCGUCUUUUCCUUGUGGUUCCUUUCUCCGGCAUCCCGGACUGCGGGCCCUGCAGCCACCUGGACCGGCAUUCAAAGGAUUCUGCAAGUCCAGCUUCACAGACUGGCUUUCCCAGACGCUCCGAAGCCCGCACCACGAACAGAAUAAAGGAGAGACGAGAGAUCGCAACUAGAUUUGAGAAUCCUCGUUCUUUUCCCCAAUCGUUCGGGCAGUAAACUCCGGAGCCGGCUACAGCGCGCAUCCUCCCUUCCUCCUUUCGGAGAACUGUCGCUUUCCCGAAGCUGCUCCCAGCUGGGUUUUCUCCCGAAGUUUAUUUUUCUCAUUUUGCAAAAUUCCUGCCCUGAUUUUAAUACUGCAACAGGACAGCAGAGGUUCCUCUUUAAAAAGUCAAAACCCAAACCAAAGGGGCCCAUUGCUGUUGAUAAUUUUUUU